rnacentral:lncRNA from 1 species
UUGACAGCUAUUAGGUCCGAGUUCCAAACUCCCUUUUAGUCUGUGUGUUCAACCUCUUUGUUUCUUUUGACGUCUCAGCGUCUCUUUUGUGUGCGACAGCUAUUAGGCUCGAGAGCCAGACUCCCUAUUAGCUUGUCAAUUUGAUAACCUUUUUGAGUGUGUUUGGAGUUGGAUGUAAGUCUAGCCAUUGGCAUUCCAUUUCCUUGUUUGUUUGGAGUCGGAUGUAAGACCAGCUAUUGGCAGUCUGUUUCCGUUUGUGUUUUUCUUUUGACAUUUCAG